GAAACUUGGCAGUCAACUUGAUAUUAUUGCUCCAAUCAAGUACUGAAAUAGGAAGUUUGUUGUUUUAAAUGACAAUUUUGUUGGGAAUGAUCUAUCCUAUUGAUUUUGUUUCUGUUAUUUCUAUUUCGGAGCAAUCUAUUUACUACCUCCUGACUUUAUUUUCAAAAUUAAAUGCAUGUCCGUGUGUUGCUGGUGUUACCAUAUUACCUUUUUCUUAGAACAAACUUGCAUGGUUAUUAGUGGAGGGGAACUCAUUUAUUUCGAAUUCUGGUUUUCUACAAAAUCCUUUACUGCUGUUUUAUAUCUAUCUCCAUAGUUGAAAUCAUUCAUGCUCGGUAAGCAGAUGGGAUAUCGUCUUUAUGGCUCCCUGGAUUGUGCUAGGGUUGCACAAGUGAAUUGAUGAUCCAAUCAGUCCUAUAAGAGCAAGAGAUCUUUCUCGGUCAAUCCCUUUGCCUCUCAUUCUUCGAGACCUACAUAGUAAAAUUUGAUUCCAAACCUAUUGAAAUGGUUUGGUACAAGGUUUGCUAAAUUUCCCGUCAAGGAAUUGGGGUGGGGAUGGGUUCAAACCUGCCCUCAGUUCUUAUUUUUUAUUUUGUUUUGUUUUAUGUUUGUAAAGUUAGAUUCUAGAAAAAUAAAGCAAGCAUGUCCCUCGUUUCCUUAGAAUCUCAGAGGAUGAGAAGGGCUGUACUUUUCCUUUUCCACUCUAUUUUGGUCAAUGCAAUUGGAAUCUUUAUGCAAUAAUCUUCGACAACAAUCCAUCAUCCAAUAAAUUAUAUUCAAAUCGUACAAAUAAGUCUUGACAAUGUUGUGUUAGUAAUAGAAGUUAAAAUCAUGUUUAUUAUAGUCUUAAAUUUUCAAAUUUGAACAGAUUGCGACAUAUAGAAGCAUGAUUUUUUUUACGUUUAUUGUACAGUCUUCAAUUUUCAAAUUCGAACAUAUCGUGACAUAUAGAAAGAAGCAUGAAUUUUCUUACGUUAUAAUCGUCAUGGGGUUGAAGUUUAGGAACGAACGAGUAUUUUUGGCAUGAAAACAACCACGUUUUGCACGGGGAUAAGGAAAAGCCAAAAAUAGAACAUGGCAACCAAUGUUGUACUCCAUACUUUCAUCCUUAAUUCCGAAAUACUUUCGCUGAAGUUAAGGAUUUUGCUCAUAUUUUUUCCAAGUACUCCUAAAUCCACUUUCAACUUAAGAAUUAUGCAUUUUUUAUAUUUUUUUUCUUAUAUUCUCCAAGAUAAUCCCUUAUUGAGUAGCAUUUUAACUCUCUAUUCUCAAAACUUGAUGGUCCCACCUUUUCCUUCACUGUCAUUCACUUGAAACUCGUGUAGAGCAACGAUGCUCGAGUGACGUUGAAUGUACUAAAACUUAAUUUAGUUUCUCCUUUCCUUUUUCGAAAAGAGAGCGAACAACUAUCUGUCUUUUAAAACAUGUUUAGUACGUUAGUUUGGACAUGAUUAAAGAAGAGUAGUUAUGAUAAAACUUACUAGUUCUUUUUUCUAAAUUUAUUUAGUUUAACGUAUCAAUUGUCAAACAUGGUACGAAAGGGAGCUGCAAUCGAGAUAUCGUAAAUUCAGAAACUAAGCAACUUCUUAGACACCUUCUCUAUCCGGUUGGACUCUUCCCUUCAUUUUCCUCAUCAGUUAGCUUUUCAUUUUUGCAACUCUUCACUUUCAACUGAAAUUCAUCAAACCCCUAUAUUUUUCUUGGUCAUAAAUUUAAUGAAAUGCUACCUUAGUAAUUAAUUCCCUUUUUCUUAAUUUAAUCAAACAAAAACCCGUCAACCCUUUUAUUUUUCCUUCUCUCUAAUUAAAUGCACGAACUAAUUUUCUGCUUUUUCCUUAAUAGAAAUAUGCAUUCUAAAUUGACAGAAUGUCCAAUCUAUAAUCACUCCUUAAUUCCAUUUCCUUCCUUUUUUAUGGUCAUAUAUGUAUUAACAUUUUCCAUAGAAAACGCUUUCUUGAUUGCUCUAUGUAUGGCACAAAUAAUGUUACAUUCUCUAUAAAAUCCUAGUUUUCCUCAAAGAAUACACAGUACAAGAAUCUUGAGGUUUAUGUUUAUUCAUACCUCGGUUUCUCAAAAAAAUUGUUCAUUAUUUCUGAUAUCACACAUUCAUUGCUCUUUGACUUUCCCAGUUUCAUCAAGUAUAUAGUUUGUACAAGUUUGUUUUUUUCCAGCAAAGUUCAUAUUAUUCUCACUUUUUCUGCAAAAUCUUUCUAGUUUCCCACAAAAAAUUAUCGUCUUCUGGAAUAAAAAUGUUGCCUUUGCAAAGGUUGUUAUGUGCAUUUCUUGUUCUAUUCAUAGUUUUGAGUGGCACUGAUGGCAAUAUUCUUAGACACCCUCGAGAAUCAGUGGUUUAUCGAACAAUCUUUGUUGAUCCAUCAAGUAAAGGUAAUUUUACAAGUAUCCAAUCCGCCAUUGACUCCGUACCUUCAAACAACAAUAAGUGGAUUUGUAUAUACAUCAAAGCUGGUAUAUACAGGUAAAUAUAUGCUAUUUCUCCUUAUAUAUACAAGUGUUUGAAGUAUUUUUGUUAUUAUUAUAUGCUAUUUCUCCUUAUAUAUACAAGUGUUUGAAGUAUUUUUGUUAUUUUUUAAUGUAAUCUUCAUCCCUUUAUAUAGAGAAGCGGUGAAAAUUUCUCAUGACAAGCCAUUCAUCUUCCUCAAAGGAGAAGGAAAAUGGAAAACUUACAUAGUUUGGGAUAAUUAUGGUUCAAUUGAAACAAGUGCUACUUUCACCUCUGAUGCAGACAAUAUAAUCGUCAAAAGCAUAACAUUCACAGUAAGAAUUUUCAUAGUAACUUCAGUAUAAUGAACAAGAUUUCAGCUUAUUUUUAUGUCUUUGGAUUUGUUUUGAAGUUUCAAUUUUAUGCAGAAUUCUUACAACCGUCCCUUUGAGAACUCUAUUAACCCAAUGAGGACAGCGGUGGCAGCAAAGAUAUCCGGGGAUAAAUCGUCCUUUUAUCGAUGUGGAUUUUUGGGAUUGCAAGAUACUUUGUGGGAUGUUAAAGGUAGACAUUACUUCAAACUUUGCAGUAUCCAGGGAGCUGUUGAUUUCAUUUUUGGUUCCGGCCAAUCCAUUUAUGAGGUAAUGUUUUAUGCGUUGUACUAGACAGUACUGAACAAAAUUCGAAUAUGAAUUUGGGGGUUUUGAAUUCUAUGCAGAGAUGCACAAUAUCAGCUAUCGCAGGCGCGCUAAAUGGUUUUGCGGGAUACAUAACAGCUCAAUCAAGAACGAGCCCUUCUGAGACCAAUGGCUUUGUUUUUAAAGAUUGUAACAUAGUUGGGAAUGGAAAGACAUUCUUGGGAAGAGCAUGGAGAGACUACGCUCGUGUCAUAUUUUAUAACACCACAAUGUCUGGUAUUGUUGUUCCUCAAGGAUGGGGUUCUUGGGUAGUUUCAUCUGGUCACGAGUAAGAUCAUCUAGAUUCAAGUCUUGCCGCUAUUGAUCGUGUCAUAUAGUUUGUAUUGGUUAAUGUUAUAUUUUUCCUUGUUUGGACAAAUUCAGGUACCAAUUAACAUUUGCUGAGUAUAAAUGUCGUGGAGCUGGAGCAAAUAUUGCAGGGCGCGUAAAGUGGGCGAACAAGUUGAGUGCGAACGAGUUGACUCGUUUUACUAGCAUGUCUUAUAUUGAUGAAGAAGGAUGGAUGAGCAGACAAGUUUUCAACAUGAUGGACUAAUGGAGCAACAAUUUAAUUGAUCUUACAAUGUUUUUUCUUUAUUAGGACAUGAAAUCUACCAUCCACCCAUGUGUGUGAAGUUUAAUGUUAAUUUUCAAAUUCCCUCUUGGUAUCUACUUGUUCGUUAACAUCUCGUUUGGUACUUCAUUUUUUAACAACUUUUCAAACUUUGGUUUAAAAGUUGUGAAUCUAAAAAAUGUGUGAUUAAAAUUAAUUAUUGAUUUUUUUAAUAAUAUUUUAAGUUUUGCCAAACAAGCACUUAAUUUGAACAUCGAACAAAAGAAAUUCAUACAGCAGGAACAUUGAAAUCAAACAAAUCACAGCAAGAACCAUAUCGAUGCAAAACUUUGAAUAUCAAAUACAUCACAAACCGGGCAGCCUUCCUAGCACCAACCACUUCUUCAACACACUUCAAGGAAACACUUUAUCAGCAUAAUAUCCAUUUUAAGUGCACGUUGAAUUAUAAUUUAAAUUAACACUUUUUUAUAUAAUUUUGUAGGUCUCACCAUUUCUACUCAUUAUUCACAUAUUCGGUAGGAUACACCUUAUAAACAUGCUCAUUGAAUGAGCAAUUCAGUCCGAGCUCUUGAAAUUAAAAUAAGUUUGGCUAAGCAGGAUCCUAUCAAGUACUCUCAAGGAAAAUUUAGUGGAUGUCCGAUUGGCGAUUAUUUUACAGUAUAAUCAAUCUUGAUACACAGUGACAGAGCCACAAUUUUUUAUUUCUGGAAGCCAAUAAUGGUCAACGACUCGACAGUUAAUGGUAACUGCCAAAGAGAGCGACAUUUGAAGUAAACAAUAAAGAUAUUGAAAUUAAAAGUUAUUUCAAUCAAAAUCAUUCCUAGAAGUCAAAUAAUGUGAUCAAAUAAAAUGCCUUCUUGUAUGACUCCUUUUUUGUUGCUGUCAAAGUUUCAACAUAUAUAUUUGAUUGAUACUAAAUUCUUGCGAAAAACUGGACAGUAAUUAAUGUUUCGACUUUAGCAGGUCUGUCUUGAAUGAGCCUAUCCCUCAGGACACAUUAUGUUAAAACAAACUCACUUGUAACUAAGACAGGCACAAGAAUUAUAGUCUUUCGUGAAAAUUUACAUAUACUUCUCUAGUUUCUGUUAUUUCCUGAUGCACGUUCCAAUUGCUCGCUAGCUUCCUCAAACGACAAGAGCUCUUGAAAGAGCGAUGCAAGCUUCGCCUCGUUAUCUUCACGGAUAUGAGCUGGAACUUUUUCUUGAUAGCCAGAUGCACUAGUUAUUUUUAACAAGCUAUCACGUUGCCUGCAAAACAUGUCAAGUUAUUGACCAGGGAAAUGAAUAAAAUGAUGGAACUAUUUUCUUUCAAUCAACCAUUCAUUGACUCACUUUUCUAUCUCCUCCAUCUUUUUCUUGAGCUUCUGGAGUUCAGCUUCUACGUUAAUGUUUCCUUGUAGCUUGAGGAAUACCGAGAGAGUUUCGUUAACCACAUCUACCUUACAACCCACCGGAGCAUCAUCACUCUCGCUUAAAACCUAAGAAAUUUAAGGUUGAAAAUUUUCACAAUACUUCCAGUAGCAUUAUGACAAGAAUGUUAAAACUGAAAAAAGUUGCUUCGGAAAAAAAAAAAAAAAAAAAAAACUGUACAAAAGGUCGGGUCUAAGCAGGAUUUCGAAUUUCAAUCGAAUCAUGAAGUCUUAAUAUGAUACACAGUUAGGAUCUGUUCGAUAAUGAUUAUAAGAAUUGAUUUUUUGAUCGUUAGAGAUAAGUGGGUUCCAUCUGUGAAUGAAGAGGUCAUAAAUGAUGGUGGGAACAAUAAAUUUACGACCAAAAAAUUUAUCUUUUGGGAUAAAAAUUGCAUUCAAAUGAGAGCUUAACGUGGAAAGAGAGAGAUCAACUAAAAUUUUAGACCAAAACAUCAAAAUCAAUUUAUAGUCAAGAGAGGUCAUUUAUUUUAUUUUUUCAAUUUGUUUUCUUUACGUCUUGAAAUAUACAAUUUAUUAUGAUUUGUACGCCAAUCUGCUAAAUUUUUUGACACAGCAUUCGUCACUCAUAGCGUACAUUAAAAAUGAAUUUUAGCAUGGUCAACACCACUUGAGAAAGUACAAGAUUUGUUGCUUUUGUUUGAGUUUUACUUCGUCAAUGUUUUGGCUUUAUUAAAAUGAGAUUUUAGAAGAAAACGUGCAUUGUUGGUUGGCGAUUGUUGACAAGUUAUUAAUAGAAGAGGUGACAAUGUUUAGUUAUUCAUGGCCUUCGUGUGAAGAUAGAAGGUAAAAAUAAGUAGAUUAGAAUUUCUCUUGGGCAUAUUAAGGAGAAUAUAUAAGAAUUAAAAGUGUCAAUAUUUUAGAGAUAAUAUUUAUUUCACAAAUUCUUAAACUAAAUUUAUAUUUCGUAAAAAUUCAAAAAUGUUCUUGUAUUUCUUUCUUGUAUCAUCUUCUUUCUCACUAUCUUCAUCUAAUCUAACUAAAGAAGUAGCGAGUAGAGGAACAUUCAACUUGCUAUAUAACAAAGUUGUUGCUCCUCCUAUUUAUUUAAUAUGGAUCUACAAUAGUACAAAUAGGCUUACAAAAGCAAAACUCAAUCCAUUUCAAAAUUUACAAGCUCUCAAAUUCCUAAUGAUACAUAUACUAGCCCAUAUAUAAGCACACAUUAUUACCAAAGCCUUAGCCUCUCUCCCCCCUAAAUUCUUGUAUUGCCUUUGUCUCACCUUGCAUUUGAAUCCUUUGUCAUGGAUUCCUAACAAUACAUAUACCAACCCAUUUAUAAUCACAUAUUAUUACCAAAAUCUUAGGCUGCGGUUGGUUUGGCGUUUUCAGGCCAUUUUUCGCUUUCCAUUUUCUAAAAUGUGAAAAACACGUUUGAUUCGUCGUUUUUGAAAAUGUAUUUUCGAAAACAAGUUAAAAUUUAUAACUGAAAACGCAAAACGAUUUUUUAUCGUUUUGAGCGUUUUCAAUUAUAAAUUUCCAAAAUGCAACGCCCAAAAUGCACCUUUUUCAAGAAAACUAAAAUCGUUUUGAAAUCGAAAAUGGAAAAUGGAAAACUAAACCAACUGCACCCUUAACUUCUCUCCCCCUAAAUUCUUGUAUUGCCUUUUCCUCACCCAGCAUUUAAACUCUUUGUUACGGAUUCCUAAUGAUAAAUACAUCAGCCCAUUUAUAAGCACACAUUACUACCAAAAUCUUACCCUCUCUUCCCCUAAAUUCUUAUAUUGCCUUUGCCUCACCUUGCUUUUGAACCCUUUCUUAUGGAUUUGACUCUUCCAACUUAAUUAUUCUUGCGUGAUCAUUCUAGAAGGUGUUCCUUCUACGUCUCUCUAAAUUGCUACAGUAAAACAUUUUACACUAACAUAGCCUUCAAAUAAAAAUCUGAAUUUAAAGUCAUUUUCAUCAUAAAAUGUAGUAAUAACCAAUAUUUACAAUCAAAUCAAUAUUUCCUCUACUUAUUCUUUGAAAAUGAACUUUUGUAAAAUAAAAUAAAAUAAAAAUCUAUGAUUUGGGCCAUUAAGAAUGGAUCUACAUACAAAUGGGCUUAUAAAUCAAACCUCGCCCAUACCCAUAUGAAUAUAAUUAUCCAAUUGCAAAAACCCUAGCUUUUCUUUCAUCGUCCCCAUUUGAUACAUGCCAGCGGCAGCCCUGUGAGAGUGUUAGAGUGAGAGAAUAUGGUUUCCGGGUCGGGUAUUUGUGCGAAGAGAGUAGUAGUGGAUGCAAGGCACCACAUGCUUGGCCGCCUGGCCUCCAUUCUAGCCAAGGAGCUCUUGAAUGGGCAGAAAGUGGUGGUGGUCAGAUGCGAAGAAAUUUGCCUCUCUGGUGGACUCGUCCGCCAGAAGAUGAAGUACCUAAGAUUCCUCCGUAAGCGCAUGAACACCAAGCCGUCUCAUGGCCCGAUCCACUUCCGGGCUCCUUCCAAGAUUCUCUGGCGCACUAUCCGUGGGUAUGGAAUUACGGAAUUCUUUGAUGAAAUAUGUGUCUUAUGAAUUUUUAUAUUAAAAAGAACGCUAGUUGAAGUUUUAAUUUCCAUGUUUGGUUUGUGUAUCGAGGUUUCUGCUUAUUUGGUGUUUCUGUUUCUGUUUCUGUUUCUGUUUAUAAAGAUAUGUGAACAUCUUGUAGGAGUGUAGAUACUUCUAUGUAAAUUUUCUGUAGUGAGAUUUGUUGGAUUUGUGAAGAUAAGAAACAGAUUCGAGUUUUAUUGUAAUCUUGGAAAUUCAGUGUUUGAUUUUGUUGUACGUAAAGCUUGUAUAGAUAAAGUGAUACCCUUUUUGGAGUGUUUGUAUACACUUUUGGUGUUCUAUCUGUAGUGCAUAAAUUUUCCUUCUGUGAAGUAUUAUGUUAGACAUACCAAUUUGAAAUUCUGGCUUAAUGGAUUCCCACGCAUAUGUCUCUUUACUUUUGGUUUAUAGUUGUGGAGCUGUUUGAAUGAGCUUUUGCUGAGCUAGCAUGUAACAGUUAGAACUUCAAAGAUGUAUUUCUACUUGUUUUGUUUUAUAUUAGAGGCUAUUCUUCCUAUCUGGGAUUGCAUUUCUGAAUGAACGUGUUAUCGGAUGAAUGUUGUUUAUUAACAUAAUUGGUGAAGGUAUCGCAUGAGUUCGAAAUAUUACAAAUGCUAAAUCCUCUGCCUUAGUGGAUUUGACGUUUGUGUGGACUGAAAAUACCUAUUUGUUUUUUAUACUUGAAGAUCGAUUGUGUGGAACUGAAGAUAUUUUUUUCUUUUGUAAAUACCUAUUGUCUCUUGUACUUGAAGAUCAAUUGUGUGCAACCAUAGAUUUUUUUUAUUUUGAUUUUGAUUUUGAUUUUUUGACUUUUUUGGAGCAUUAAUCAUAGUGUACUUUCCAGAGAAGUGAUCGGUCCAGUCUAAUGUUAUGUGUUGAUUCACCUGUAGAAUGAUUCCUCACAAGACUAAGCGAGGAGCAGCUGCUCUUUCCCGUUUGAAGGUUUAUGAGGGUAUCCCACCCCCAUAUGACAAGAUCAAGAGGAUGGUUAUUCCCGAUGCUCUCAAGUGAGUCUUAUAAAGGAGACCAUAUUAUUUUGUGUGUUUUGUCCACAUCUUUUUAACUCGUUGGCUUUUUGAUAAUUAGGGUUCUGAGGCUACAAGCUGGACACAAAUAUUGUUUAUUGGGUAGACUCUCAUCCGAAGUUGGAUGGAACCAUUAUGACACAAUCAGGGUGAGUUUAGAUGAUAUGCUUUGUUUUUGUGCACGUUGCGAAGUUUGCUUUCUUUCGAUUUUUUUAUGUAGCCCUUGUUUGAGCCAUAUUAUAUUCCUAGGAAUGUAUUUUUGAAUAGUGUAUUGAUGGGAAAUGUGUGGUUAAAAAAUAAAGAAAAGUUAUAGAUUUGCGUGUAAUAUUAUUUUAUUGGAGAAUGUGUGGUUGAAAUGAUGUCAAAUUACUGUUUAAGAAUUUUUUUUGGGAAAAAAUGUGGCUCUAACAUAGCCAUAGUUUCAAUUAUGGAUUUCACCAAUGUCACAGAAUAUUUCUUAAAUUUGUAUACUGAUCCAUUCUUUAUUGUUCCACAUGGAUUUACUUCUCAGAUGUUUAGUCUCAAGCAAUUUGUUUGUGACUGGAUCUAGACCUUUUUACCUGUGUUACUUGGAUUUAUGAUGAAUUUUCAACUCAGGUCGUUCGAGUAUUAUGACUUAAUUUUCUUUAUGAUUAAUGUAUUGAGUUACACUAACUCUGGAUGAUCCCCAACCAAUAAAGUGGGUCUGAUAUUCGCCUUAAAAUUUCAUCCCACAUCACUAUCACAUCACACGGGGAUGAUCAUGGAUAGCAUUAUUCAAUAUAUUUGAUCAUACGAUCUAAAAAAUAACAUUUAUGUACUGUAGGAGCUUGAGAAGAAGAGAAAGGAGAGGGCUCAGGCUACAUACGAGAGGAAGAAGCAGCUGACAAAAUUGAGGGUCAAAGCAGAGAAGGUGGCCGAGGAGAAACUUGGCAGUCAACUUGAUAUUAUUGCUCCAAUCAAGUACUGAAAUAGGAAGUUUGUUGUUUUAAAUGACAAUUUUGUUGGGAAUGAUCUAUCCUACUGAUUUUGUUUCUGUUAUUUCUAUUUCGGAGAAAUCUAUUUACUACCUCCUGACUUCAUUUUCAAAAUUAAAUGCAUGUCCGUGUGUUGCUGGUGUUACCAUAUUGCCUUUUUCUUAGAACAAACUUGCAUGGUUAUUAGUGGAGGGGAACUCAUUUAUUUCGAAUUCUGGUUUUCUACAAAAUCCUUUACUGCUGUUUUAUAUCUAU
rnacentral:lncRNA from 1 species